AGAGUUUGAUCCUGGCUCAGGACGAACGCUGGCGGCGUGCUUAACACAUGCAAGUGGAGCGACGAACCGGGCUUCGGCCCGGGGCAAAGCCGCGAACGGGUGAGUAACACGUGGGUAACCUGCCCCGAUGAUUGGGACAACCUCGGGAAACCGAGGCUAAUACCAAAUGUGCUCACGUCUCGCGAGAGACGUGUGGAAAGGAAGCUUCGGCCUCCGCAUCGGGAUGGGCCCGCGGCGCAUUAGCUAGUUGGUGAGGUAAUGGCUUACCAAGGCUUCGAUGCGUAGCUGGUCUGAGAGGACGAUCAGCCACACUGGGACUGAGACACGGCCCAGACUCCUACGGGAGGCAGCAGUGGGGAAUCUUGCGCAAUGCGCGAAAGCGUGACGCAGCAACGCCGCGUGCGGGAAGACGGCCUUCGGGUUGUAAACCGCUUUCAGUUGGGACGAAGCUUCGCCGGUGAAUAGCCGGCCGGAGUGACGGUACCUUCAGAAGAAGCCCCGGCUAACUACGUGCCAGCAGCCGCGGUAAUACGUAGGGGGCGAGCGUUGUCCGGAAUCAUUGGGCGUAAAGCGCGUGUAGGCGGCCCGGUAAGUCCGCUGUGAAAGUCCAGGGCUCAACCCUGGGAUGCCGGUGGAUACUGUCGGGCUCGAGUCCGGAGGAGGCGAGUGGAAUUCCUGGUGUAGCGGUGAAAUGCGCAGAUAUCAGGAGGAACACCAAUGGCGAAGGCAGCUCGCUGGGACGUGACUGACGCUGAGACGCGAAAGCGUGGGGAGCAAACAGGAUUAGAUACCCUGGUAGUCCACGCCGUAAACGAUGGGCACUAGGUGUGGGGGGUGUCGACUCCCUCCGUGCCGAAGCCUACGCAUUAAGUGCCCCGCCUGGGGAGUACGGCCCGAAGGCUAAAAACUCAAAGGAAUUGACCGGGGCCCCGCACAAAGCAGCGAAGCAUGGUGUUUUAAUUCCGACGCAACGCGAAGAAACCUUACCUGGGGCUUGGCCUGUUCCCUGAACGCCCCUGGAAAACAGGGGGUUUCCCUUUUCG
rnacentral:rRNA from 1 species